UAUAACAUUAUAAAAAAAUGUUGUAACAUAUUUUGAAAGACCAAAUCAAUAACUAAUUCAAAUGUUAUAAGUAUUUUGAAAGACCAAAUCAAAUAAUUGAUUCAAUUAAAAACUAAUUCGUUUUUUAUCAUGCUAAAAGGACAGAGUCAAGGUAAGGUAAAAAUAAAGUUGACCCCCAAGGUACAAAAUGUCACUUGGGCUAGCUCACAUGUAUACUGUCAUGACCCGAAACUCUCCAUCAGGCCCGUGACAAUCGUCGCGAAGCCUCGAAGACAUUCUUCACCUCGAAUGCCGAUCGAAACCUCGCAAGACUCUCGUAUCAGCUUUCGCAUUUUCCCGGUGAGCAAUAGUUAUCAAAUAUCGUAAUUUAAAAGAUUACAAGUCAUUUCCAAAUCAAAACAUAACAUAUUAUUUUCUAGCUCACAGGGGCAUUUUCGUCAUUUUUUGUCGAAAAUCUCAAAACUUGCUAAAAUGUAGUAUGUAAGCAGAAAAUAUAUAUUUAGUGAUUUAGAAACAAAUUAAGUAUCUAAAACGUUCAUUUGUAGUGAAAAUAUGACAAUUUGAAUAUAAUAAAAAUAUUCAAUAAAAUAAGCUAUUUUCUUGUAAAAUAAUUUUUUUAAAGCUAUCGGUAAAUAAUUCUUAUAGCGUAAAAAUUAAUUAUAUUCAUAUAUACUAUAAAGCAAAUAACCAAAGUAUAAAAUUACUUUUACAGUGACACGUGGGCUCACAUCUAACCAAAAUGCAUCGGAAGUUGAAAACCUACAACUUUUGCCGAUUCAAGUCCAAAUGAAGGUCCUUAUCAAAGUCAGCUAACUAUAAAAUUCCCUGAGCCUGAAAUGUGAGGAAAGGAGGGUAGUGAGAUUAUAAAAUCCUAGUGAGUAAACAAUUACCAUCAAAAGCAUCUCAAGCCGAGUAGAUGGAGACAAUAUAAAAACGUUAUAUCUCAAUAAUGUUCAUAACGCAAAAUUCGUUUCAAUCUAUACCAAACAAUUUCUUUUCGUCAAAAUUUCCCGGCUUAUGAGUUUCUUAAACUUGACCCCUGCCAGAAUCAUUCUCACUGGUACCUUUGUCAAGGUAUCCCACUAAAAUCGCCAAGGCUGUUAAAUGUCCCAUACCCAUAAACAUGUUUUCGCAUCUGAUACACAGUCAUUCCUUGACGUUGGCUGAGUCUCACACUCACGUGGUGGUCCGAACGUGAGGUGCACUCAAAUCUUAUCUCAAGGGAUACUUCAUCCAACAUCUCCCCCCGGAGGUAAAUAUAUAAUUGGGUUACCGUGCCCCUCUCAUAGGCAGUCCACGGAAACCCCCACCACUGCAGUGAUCGUUUAAUAUACCACCAGACCCAUAAAAUUUUCAGUAGCAUAAUAUGGUAAAUAAAAUUUAAUCCAGUCUACCGAGACCAAUCCAAAAUUGUUCAUAUAUUUCAUGUCAACCCCAAAAAUUUAGCCAUCAUGCUACCAUAGUGUCAUAAGCCACAAUUUCAAUAACAUAUAAAAUCAUAAAUUUCAACAUAGUCUCCAUAUACUCAAUUUUCCCAAAACAAUAUUUGAUUUCAAAACCAGUAUAAAUCUCAUUUUUAUUAAAAAACAUUUUAAUUGGAAAACAUAAUAUUUUAUAAUUUAAACUCACCAUUCAAUAAAAGCAUCAAACAAGUAUAAUUACUCUAGAAAUUUAAGAUGAUAAAUUGUCCACUCACAGUUCUAGGAGUCGAUGUACUCCUAAUCCCAGUCUUCAAGCACAAUCUUUGUACUUUUACCAGUGUAAUUUGCUCACCACCUAUCCACAAUGUACAAUACAUAAUUCACCAUAUUAAUGCUUGACCAUUAUAAAAUCAAUUCAGGCUCGGUGUAUAUGCAUGAUAUGAAAUGAAAAAUGCACGGGUAGCCAUCUAGACCCGGUAUUGGCCUAAAUCGAUUUUUCAUCCGAUAAAUUGGCCAAUGCGUCCAAUUUCACUCCAAAUUACCCUAUUUCUUUUCUAAUACCUCAAUUCACCAAACAUUAUUCAAAUAACACCAAUUUCAGCAUCAAAACCCUCCCAUUUUUUCAUGGAAAAAUUCGACCAUUACAAUGCACUAACACCAUGAUUUUUCCUACUUAAUUUUCUCACCAUUAUUCAUCAUUUUCUAAGCCAUUUCUCUUGAAAUAAUAACAAUCCAUCACCCACACACAUCAAGGAAGAUUUGGUCAUGAAGAUUCAUGAGGAAAAUGGAUUCUUUUCUUGUUGUUUUGUUUCUAAAUAUGCUACACUAACUAGAAACACUAACAUAUCUUAAAAUCAAUUCAAUCCAACAUCUUUCUCUCUCCAUACCCAUUUUGACCAGCCAUGAAUUCAUCAUGAAAACAUGUAAUUUAACCAUGAAAAAUAAGGAGAAAUGCAUGGGAAAGGUAGAUCACAAGUCAAAAUCAAGAAAUUUAACCUUUUGUCACUUGUUUCCUUGAAUUUCCCACACUUUUCUCUGGAAAUUCUUCACCUAGGGUUUUUGUUUUUCUUUUCUCCCUUUGUUCUUCUUUUUUCUUUGUUUGGCCGGC
rnacentral:lncRNA from 1 species